UACGUAGGUGGCAAGCGUUGUCCGGAUUUACUGGGCGUAAAGGGCAGGCAGGCGGGCUGUUAAGUAGAAAGUGAAAGGUCGGGGCUCAACCCCAACAUUGCUUUUUAUACUGGCAGCCUUGAAUCCCGGAGGGGAAAGCGGAACGACACGUGUAGCGGUGAAAUGCGUUGAUAUGUGUCGGAACACCAAUGGCGAAGGCAGCUUUCUGGACGGGGAUUGACGCUCAACUGCGAAAGCCGAGGUAGCGAACAGG
rnacentral:rRNA from 1 species